rnacentral:rRNA from 1 species
CACGUAGGGCGCGAGCGUUGUCCGGAAUUAUUGGGCGUAAAGAGCUCGUAGGCGGCCUGUUGCGUCCGCUGUGAAAUCCCGGGGCUCAACCCCGGGCGUGCAGUGGAUACGGGCUGGCUGGAGGCAGGCAGGGGAGAACGGAAUUCCUGGUGUAGCGGUGAAAUGCGCAGAUAUCAGGAGGAACACCGGUGGCGAAGGCGGUUCUCUGGGCCUGUACUGACGCUGAGGAGCGAAAGCGUGGGGAGCGAACAGG